GCAGUGGCAUUCCUGCCAUUUCCAGCCCAUCAGAGCCAUGGGGAUAGCACCCAGCCCAGCACUGAUGGGAUUCCAUGCACGCAGCCCAGGAGUGGAUUGUCUGGCUUCUCCCAGAUCAAAUGGUCCAUGGUGGGGUUUAUAGCCCUCAUUGCCGAUGUUAGAAGGUUAGAGGCAGUGACCUUGGGAGAUUUUACACUCAAUUUAAUUUUUAUUGUUUCAUGAAAUGAGAAUUGUUUUCUGCCAGUCAAUAAAGCAGUGGGCGUCCUUCUAUAUAAUGGAUGUGGCUAGACUAUUAUGUUGGUUAUAGCCGUUUAACUGCAGGGCAGUCUUAUUAGUGGGGAUUUCAGAACUACAGGACUUUUGCCUGCCUCAGGGCUCAUCCUUUAUCCAAGUCAGCAUUAAUGCUGUUACAUAUAACAGGUUAUGGCCACUUCAGAAAGAGAUGAAAGUUCAAAGUCUCUGAAGUUUGAAACACACCAGAGAGGAAAGGAGCUGAGAGAACUAGGAUCUGAGCAGUCAGGAAGUUCAGUGGAUGCGUGUCUGAGACGCAAGCCAAGCAAUCAAAUGUUCCAGGACACAGUGGUGCAGCCAACCUAGCAGGUGAAGGAAACAUUAUUGAAGAAAUCAGCUAAAUCACAGCAGAGAAGCACACUGCUUAAGGCAAAACUCAUCAUUAGUUUAGGGUUGGAAAAAUGAUUGAUCACUUUACUUGCAUGUUAUGAAAAACAAAACAAAACAAAACAAAACAAAACAUCCUCAAUAUUCCCAAUUCCCAAUUCCCUCUCCAGAUUGAGAUGAAGUCAUAUUGAAGCUUAUGUGAAAGAGCAGGUUAUAAAAGAGAUCAUAUCUUGGCUUUGGAAGGCCAUAAAACCCCCCUCAUUUUAGUAGUGUGGAGAAAUCUGAAAGUGGUUUUGCAUUCUGGAUCAGGGCCAACUAAAUGCAGAGAUGCCAGCCUCAGCACAGAGAGGUGGAGGUGGGAGUCUCAGGCCCUGGUGACUAGAGGAAACAAGAAACUGACAGAAGAAUUUCUUGCUCAAAGGUGACAUAUGACAUCAAGUAGUAUUGUAGGUAAAGACGUUUUCAAUGGGAAGGGACUGGAGGAGUGUAUGUGUGUGUGUGUGUGUGAGUGAGAGAGAGAGAAAAAGAGAGAGAGAUCUCCAGUUAUCCUUUGUGUUUAUAUUUAAGGGAGGUAGUGCUGGUUCUCUUGCUCUGCUUUUUGCCCCUUCUACAGCAUGUUAUUAUUUACUUAUUUAUUAUGUUGUCUGUAUCAUCCCCACUAGAAUGUAGAGGGCAGGAAUCCUGCUUUGUUUUAUUCAGUGGUAUAUCCCGAGCACCCACGACACUGGCUGAGUAAAGCAUCGCACCUAAUACAUAAUUGAUUAAAUGAAUAAACACCCACAAAGGACGAAGAGGAGGAUUCUUAGUCAACUAGGGAAGUAAAGACUUGUAACUUAGCACUGAAGAAAGAUGGUGGCACAGAAGGAAAAUGGGGGUUGUUCCAGGGCUCUGUUAAUGCUAGGGCUUGUCUGCUUUGGUCCAGGGAGAAACAUCUCCCUCCACCGGGGGUCUUAAUGGUUCAGCUGCAACAGCACAGAUGGGGAACAUGUCCGGGCAACUCCAUAAUUUGAUGAAAGGUCUGUGUUGUUUGUUUGUUUAGGGACCCAAGCAGAAGUAAUCCUCCCAUUUGUUAAAAUAUGUUGCUAAAACUCAAUCAUAGUAUUAAUUUGAAGCAUAGCACUUGUCCUAAUUUUCAAACCACUGCAUUUCAAAGAAGUUCAGUUUGCCAGGUCUGUUUUUAAAAUCCACAGGCUUUGAAGAGUUUAAGCCAAGGUCAAAAAGUGGCAAGUGCAAAGUGAGUUUAUAUACCAACAAAGGAAGUUCCUGGAAAGCUCUCACAGUACCAGUGGGUUUGUUAGUAAUUUCUUUUAUUGAGAAACUAACCAUCAGAGAGGGCUGAUAAUUUUCUCAAAGUCACAGUUACUAACCUAAUGGUAUAUAUAUAUACACAUACACACGCAGAACAAAUAGGAUAUACAUUUAUCAUAUAUAUACAUAAAAUAUUCUUGUAAUUUAUUAUAAUAAUUUGUUUAUUUUCAUAUACCAUAACCUAUUUAUUAUAGUACAAAUUUAUCAUACAUAUAUGCAUAUAGUUAUUAUAAAUCAUUAUGUAUCAUGAUGUAUUUAUAUAGUAUUGUAUUUAUAUAUUUAUAUGUAAGGCAAGCUGGAGAGAGAUGGAAUGGUUCCAUCCAAAUCCAAAGGCCUGUGAAUGUGAGGAGCUGGUGGUGGAAGUUCCAGGUCCAGCCUGAGUCCUGAGGCAGGAGAUGACUGAUGUCCCAGGUCAGAAACAGUCACUGGGAGCAUGGCUUCUCCUUUCCACAGCCCUUCUGUUCUGUCCUGACCCUCAAUGCCUUGGGUCAGGCCCACUCACAUUGGGAGAGGCUAUCUGAUUAACUGAGUCUGAUUCAAAUAUAAUUUCAUUUAGAAAAACACCCUCCCAGCAACGCCCAGAAUCACGUUUAACCAACUAUCUGGGCACCCUGUGGCCCAGUCAUGUGCACAUGGACAAUUAAUUGUCACAUUCAGGAAGAUGAUUUGCACCCAGCCACCCUCCCCCACCCCACCUCCUGUGAGCCAGGUCAGAGCUGCAGGGAUCCUGACAAGGAAUUUCCAGUUUCCUGUGCUUCCCUUCUUGACAUCCUUACACUUCAAAUCAAUGCAUGUUCCCUAAGUCUCGAUUAUAACUAAUAAUUCUCGCAAUAUAAUUAUAGUUCUACUUUAUGCAUUCUUCAAUCAUUCAUUUCUAACAAAUUUCUUCAAUGCCUUGUAUAUAAUUUUCCUCAGCUGCUUAGAAAGAAGCUAUUUAAUCUACCUAUUUAGAAGAAGACUUUAACUAUAAAUUAGAUUUUUUUCUCAAUAGAAGUAAAUGGUUCAUUACUGAAAUUAAGAUUUCUUAUCAUUGCACUGUGAGUCUGUGGAUAUGAUGUGGAAGAUGGUACAGGUAUUAUGGAGGGUGUUUGGCCUGAGAGAGUUUAGCGAGGAACAAUGAAAUAUCUCUUUGAUUGAGACUAGGCAAAGAAAUUGGAUAUUUUCUAUUGCUUUCAUCUUGUUUCCCCUCACAAAAUUUUUUUUGUUGGAUCUUUACAUUACUAUGACUUAUUUAAAUCAUCUCUGUAAAGAUAUUAAAAGUACCCGCUGGAGUGCUCUAGAAAUAGGAAGAAUCAAAAUAGCGCAUCAAAGCAUAUUGGAAAAAUGGUGCAAUUUGUACCACUGGACAGAUUGUGUGUGGGGGGCACUUUGACUUCCUCUCACUGUGGCAAACAGAGCUUGCCUGCCAGUCACUGAGGACUGCUUUGUGCAGCAACCACUCAGAAAGCCGAGUGCAUCUCCUGGGUUUAUCUGCCAUGGCUCAUUCUGGGAACUACCAUUUCAGCUGAGCAUCACCUGGAUAUUUGUUACAUGUUCAGAUCCCUGGCCCUGCUCCCUUGACAUUCUGGUUCAGUAGGAUUGGAAAGAAAUCCUGGAGUUGGUGUUUUUAAAAGCAUUCUAGGUGUUGCUAAAGCUGGUGAACUUCCUUUGGGAAAUACUGCCCUGUGCUCUGCCCUUGUCUCAGGUCUCAGCUGCCCCAGGCUUCUGGGAGCUGGUCCCUGGUUAUGGGGUCUCUGUGGUCCUUCUGCAUUAGAGCUCACCUCAACCUUCACAGAGUUAGAGCUUCUGGCUUCUCUGCCAGACAGCACUAUGGUUUCCCAGUCCCUCCAAGCGCUCCUCCAAAUCGUGGUGAAGAAGAAAGGAGUUUUUUCAUCCUGCAAAGCUGCAACUUUGCACCCUCUGUUAACAUCUCCUCCCACCCCCCCUGCCCACAGUGACCACCACUCUACUCUCUGUGUCUAUGACUUUGGCUUUGUAGGCUCUGCAUAGAAGUGAAAUCAUCUCCUAUUUGUCUUUCUGUUUCUGGCUUAUUUCACUUAGUGUAAUUCCUCCAUGUUUUCCAUGUUGCUGCAAAUGAAUAGCAUGGUGAUCAUACUUUAUUAAUAAUACUGUAUUGAAUACUGGAAACUUGCUAAGAGAGUAGAUCUCAAUUGCUUUCAUCACACACACACACGCACAAUGGUAAGCACAUGUGUGAGGAGAUGAAUAUAUUAAUUAGCUUGACUGUCCUAAUCAUUAUGUAUGUUGAAAUAUCAUGUUGUACACCUUUAAUACAUAUACUUUUCAUUAAAAAUUUUAAAAGUGAAAAAAAAGGGAACUUUAUUCAAGCCUCUGAUGUGUAGUCUUGUCUCCUGGUGGGUUCUGCUGUCCAGGGCCACGUCUUCCGGUCAGCCGUGCUCCUGACUCCUGAGUGUUGACUGUAAAGGCACUUUUGAUCCUUUCCUGUCUCUCCAUCUUCUAAGUGGUAACUGUAGCUGAAAGCCUUUGUCUUCUCCUCUUCCUCACAACUUCUGGAAUUGUGACAGAGACUGACUUAGCUAGCAACUCAGGUGGCCUGAAUCCUUGCAUCUCUACGCUGCCCCGACUCUUUGCAUGCCCAGCUGGUUUCUUUCCCUCUCGGUCACCUUUCUGCCUGAGUCCAAAUCUAGUACACAUUUACUAUUCUGACUUUUAACUUCAGAUAGUUCUGUAUAACCAUAAAUGCAGACUCUUGCCUAUUCUCAAUUAAUACAUCUGGCUACUAUUAAGAAGUGUAUUUUCCGGAGUUCCCGUCAUGGCGCAGUGGUUAAUGAAUCCGACUAGGAACCAUGAGGUUGCGGGUUCGGUCCCUUCCCUUGCUCAGUGGGUUAACGAUCCAGCGUUGCCGGGAGCUGUGGUGUAGGUUGCAGACGCGGCUCGGAUCCUGCGUUGCUGUGGCUCUGGCGUAGGCCGGUGGCUGCAGCUCCGAUUCAACCCCUAGCCUGGGAACCUCCAUAUGCCGCGGGAGCGGCCCAAGAAAUGGCAACAACAACAACAACAACAACAAUAA
rnacentral:lncRNA from 1 species